GUUGUUGCAGUUAAAAAGCUCGUAGUUGGAUUUCUAGUCGAUUUACCUGGUCCGCCGCACCUAGUGCGCGUGAGUACCAAAGUUAAUCGUCUAUCCUAGGUGUUUUCAGGGCUCCGGCCCUGUCUCUACCUCCUUUUACUUUGAAAAAAUUAUAGUGUUUAAAGCAAGCUUGCGCGAUGAAUACAUUAGCAUGGAAUAAUAACAUAGGACUCGUUGACCUAUUUUGUUGGUUUCUAGGACUCGAGUAAUGAUUGAUAGGGAUAGUUGGGGGUGCUAGUAUUACGCGGCCAGAGGUGAAAUUCUUGGAUUCGCGCAAGACUAACUUAUGCGAAAGCAUUCACCAAGGAUGUCUUCUUUAAUCAAGAACGAAAGUUGGGGGAUCGAAGACGAUCAGAUACCGUCGUAGUCUCAACCAUAAACUAUACCGACUAAGGAUGAGUGACCGUUGCAUUUUCGACUUCAUUCGCACUUUAUGAGAAAUCAAAGUCUUUGGGUUCCGGGGGGAGUAUGGUCGCAAGGCUGAGACUUAAAGGAAUUGACGGAAGGGCACCACCACGAGUGGAGCCUGCGGCUUAAUUUGACUCUACACGGGAAAACUUAC
rnacentral:rRNA from 1 species